UGCUGAGACAGAAACUUAAAAUGGAUAAUAAGAGUAAAAAACGCCCGGGUGGCGCUGAGAAGCAUCGGAAAAAAAAGCUGAAGUCUCUGGAGGUGGAGGCUGCUACAUGUGCCAAACUGACGGACCUGUUUGGUGCCGGGUUCACCAGCCCAGCAGCAGCAGGUGCGCCGGGAGACGAGCGAGGAGGACUCGACCAUGAUGAGCGAGUGGAGGCAGACAUGGUUGAUGUGAUAUAUUUGAGGAGUCGUUCUCCCUCUGUUUUAUAUGUGGACAUUUGGGACCACUGUUAGAAUUUGGUUGACCACUUGACAUGUGAGAGCCUGAGGAGUUGUUCCCCCUCUGUCCAUGUUCGAGGACUUGCUCUCUGUCUGCCUCCACUCUCUGCCUUCACUGUACCAAAGUUUGUCUGUUGAGUCUCCUCUAGUCUGGUUGACCACUUGACAUGUGAGAGCCUGAGGAGUUGUUCACCCUCUGUCCAUGUUCGAGGACUUGCUCUCUGUCUGCCUCCACUCUCUGCCUUCACUGUACCAUGUCUGUUGAGUCUCCUCUAGUCUGGUUGACCACUUGACAUGUGAGAGCCUGAGGAGUUGUUUUCCAGACACAGGUAGAGCUGGCAGGGGCGUCACCCUGGGCCUGCCCUUUUGGGCUGGGCUUCAGCUGCAGAUCUAAAGGCUGCUUCCAGGGGCAUGGGGCCCUCAGCCUUUGUUUUUCUUUGCUUCUGUACCUUACAACAUACAUCACACCUUAUUUUCACACAUCCAAACACCG